GUGCUUGCUUCGGCAGCCCAUAUACUAAAAUUGGAACGAUACAGAGAAGAUUAGCAUUGGCCUUGCCCAAGGAUAACAUGCAAAUUCAUGAAGCAUCCCAUAUUUUU
rnacentral:snRNA from 1 species